UACGUAGGGUGCGAGCGUUAAUCGGAAUUACUGGGCGUAAAGCGUGCGCAGGCGGCGCGUUAAGACAGGUGUGAAAGCCCCGAGCUUAACUUGGGAAUUGCGCUUGUGACUGGCGUGCUGGAGUGUGGCAGAGGGAGGUGGAAUUCCAGGUGUAGCGGUGAAAUGCGUAGAUAUCUGGAGGAACACCGGUGGCGAAGGCGGCAUCCUGGACCGGCAUUGACGCUGAGGCGCGAAAGCCAGGGGAGCAAACGGG
rnacentral:rRNA from 1 species